rnacentral:lncRNA from 1 species
CUUCGUCCCCGGAUCCCCUUUUACUCCUUGGGCGUCCAGAUCGGCUGGUUCAAGAAAGUGCUUGCCGCGCUCGCCUCCACGGACAAAGGUACAUAACAUGUUAGGCAUAUCUAGAACAAAUCAAAUCGGUGACAUGCAUAGCGCCAUGGAUAUUAUGAUCUCAUACCACACCUUGAAUCACGGGCAUGCACGUAUGUAUGCAGAGAGGAAAGAGGUGAUGGAGAGCUCGCUGUUCCUGGUGGGGGAGAUCGGCGUCAACGACUACCACCACCCCUUCCUGCAGAACAAGACGCUCGAAUGGGUCAGGCCCCUCGUGCCCCAGGUCAUCAGCUCCAUCGCUCUCUCCAUCGAGGCCCUGAUCGAGCUGGGCGCCAAGACCAUGUACGUGCCGGGCAUCUUCCCGCUGGGGUGCACCCCGCAGUACCUCGUGCUCUUCCCCGGCGACGACCGCGACCCUGCCACGGGCUGCCUCCCGUGGCUCAACGACC